rnacentral:rRNA from 1 species
UACGGAGGGGGCUAGCGUUGUUCGGAAUUACUGGGCGUAAAGCGCGCGUAGGCGGCUUUUGCAGGUUAGAGGUGAAAGCCCGGAGCUUAACUCCGGAACUGCCUUUAAAACUGCCAUCGCUAGAAUCGUGGAGAGGUGAGUGAAUUCCGAGUGUAGAGGUGAAAUUCGUAGAUAUUCGGAAGAACACCAGUGGCGAAGGCGACUCA